rnacentral:rRNA from 1 species
CUGGCGCUGCCUAAAAUGCAAGUCGAACGAGGGCUUCGGCCCUAGUGGCGCACGGGUGAGUAACGCGUGGGAACCUGCCCUGUGGUACGGAAUAACUCCGGGAAACUGGAGCUAAUACCGUAUGCGUCCUGCGGGACAAAGAUUUAUCGCCAUGGGAUGGGCCCGCGUAGGAUUAGCUUGUUGGUGGGGUAACGGCCCACCAAGGCUACGAUCCUUAGCUGGUCUGAGAGGAUGAUCAGCCACACUGGGACUGAGACACGGCCCAGACUCCUACGGGAGGCAGCAGUGGGGAAUAUUGGACAAUGGGCGCAAGCCUGAUCCAGCAAUGCCGCGUGAGUGAUGAAGGCCUUCGGGUUGUAAAGCUCUUUCGCACGCGACGAUGAUGACGGUAGCGUGAGAAGAAGCCCCGGCUAACUUCGUGCCAGCAGCCGCGGUAAUACGAAGGGGGCUAGCGUUGUUCGGAAUUACUGGGCGUAAAGGGCGCGUAGGCGGCGUGUCAAGUCAGGCGUGAAAGCCCCGGGCUCAACCUGGGAACCGCGCUUGAGACUGGCAUGCUCGAGUUCGGGAGAGGAUGGUGGAAUUCCCAGUGUAGAGGUGAAAUUCGUAGAUAUUGGGAAGAACA